rnacentral:lncRNA from 1 species
UCAAGGAGACGACGGCCAUCGUCCGUCCUGGCGAGUGGGAUCGCAAGCUUGAGGACGAUCAUGAACUCUCCUGGCGACGGCGAUCGAGCGAGCUCUCGAAAAGCAGAGACUGCUGCACCGCCGCCGCUCGUGACGAACGCCGGAAGCCCGUGAGAUCACAUGACACGAUGUGAAAGGUCUUGGGUGCUCGCACGUACGAGGGAACAGUUUCUAUCACUUGGGAUGCGACAUCUCCACCGACACGAGAUGCAGUGGCUGCAAUCACGGGUUGUCCGACGAUGGUGCCGUCGUGGUGUUUUGGAUCCC